rnacentral:misc_RNA from 1 species
AGCCCAUCCACGCUCGUCUGCCUCGCGGCAGAGAUGCGGACACUGGCCCUCCGAACCGCGAGGUGCGGUGGGCCUAAGUGUGCGGUCGUCGUGUGCGGCCGGGAGCGGCGAGUGGUGGG